rnacentral:rRNA from 1 species
AAUGGAGGAAACUUUGAUGCAGCCAUGCCGCGUGCAGGAUGAAUGCCUAUGGGUUGUAAACUGCUUUAUACAAGAAGAACAUCAGUACGUGUACUGACUUGACGGUAUUGUAUGAAUAAGCACCGGCUAACUCCGUGCCAGCAGCCGCGGUAAUACGGAGGGUGCAAGCGUUAUCCGGAUUUAUUAGGUUUAAAGGGUCCGCAGGCGGAAUAUUAAGUCAGUGGUGAAAGCCUACAGCUCAACUGUAGAACUGCCAUUGAAACUGUUAUUCUUGAGUAUGGAUGAAGUGGGCGGAAUAUGUCAUGUAGCGGUGAAAUGCAUAGAUAUGACAUGGAACACCAAUUGCGAAGGCAGCUCACUAAACCAUUACUGACGCUCAUGGACGAAAGCGUGGGGAGCGAACAGGAUU